GUGAUUCUGAUUUCAUUCCAUGCAAGUGUUUUCUAUAUGUAUAGAUAAUAUUGAAAACCUUGUUUGGAUUGGCAUCAGUAUGCA
rnacentral:pre_miRNA from 1 species